rnacentral:tRNA from 1 species
GGGGUUGUGGCUCAGUGGUAGAGCCCUUGCCUCAAAGGUGUGAGGCCCUGGGUUCAAUUCUCAGCACCG